AUACGUGAACUUUUAGGUCGGUC
rnacentral:siRNA from 1 species